GGCAAAUGGGUGGAGGGCGGUACCGUCACUGAGAAAUGGCCUAAGGGCGGAAGAGGAGCAGGUCCGGGAGGAAGGUGCUGAGCUCAAGCCUGGAUGGGCUGAAUUUGGUGAGGGACACCCAGGGUGAGAAGCCAAGCAGAUCGGGGGCUAAGAGGUGAAGUCUGGCUGGAGAUCCGGGAGGCCUGGCACAGAGAUGGAGAUCUCAUUCCACCACAGACAGCACCUGCCCGGACUAAACGACUACUUUCCCAGUCUCCCUUGCAGCUGGGAGUGACCGAUGAAACGUGUGAUGUUUUUUGGUGGGGCUGCCUGGAAAGUUCUAUAAAUGUGGGUGUGGGGAGACAGCUGGGCGGUGCCAUGCUUGACCUUCCACCUUCCUUCUGCCUCCUGCCUGGAGCGAGGCGUGACGGAGGGGGCUCCAGCAGCCAUUUGGUUUAUGAGGGGCCCUGGAGGCUAGAAGCCAGUGCUGGGUAUCCAGUGACAUUGUGGUACCACCACACCAGCCCCGACCACCUGUUUUCACAUUUCUUUCAUGCAAAAGAAAAAACCUAUUAAUCUGUUUAAA